GGGUUGUGAGGUUAAGCGACUAAGCGUACACGGUGGAUGCCCUGGCAGUCAGAGGCGAUGAAGGACGUGCUAAUCUGCGAUAAGCGUCGGUAAGGUGAUAUGAACCGUUAUAACCGGCGAUUUCCGAAUGGGGAAACCCAGUGUGUUUCGACACACUAUCAUUAACUGAAUCCAUAGGUUAAUGAGGCGAACCGGGGGAACUGAAACAUCUAAGUACCCCGAGGAAAAGAAAUCAACCGAGAUUCCCCCAGUAGCGGCGAGCGAACGGGGAGCAGCCCAGAGCCUGAAUCAGUAUGUGUGUUAGUGGAAGCGUCUGGAAAGGCGCGCGAUACAGGGUGACAGCCCCGUACACAAAAAUGCACAUGCUGUGAGCUCGAUGAGUAGGGCGGGACACGUGGUAUCCUGUCUGAAUAUGGGGGGACCAUCCUCCAAGGCUAAAUACUCCUGACUGACCGAUAGUGAACCAGUACCGUGAGGGAAAGGCGAAAAGAACCCCGGCGAGGGGAGUGAAAAAGAACCUGAAACCGUGUACGUACAAGCAGUGGGAGCACGCUUAGGCGUGUGACUGCGUACCUUUUGUAUAAUGGGUCAGCGACUUAUAUUCUGUAGCAAGGUUAACCGAAUAGGGGAGCCGAAGGGAAACCGAGUCUUAACUGGGCGUUAAGUUGCAGGGUAUAGACCCGAAACCCGGUGAUCUAGCCAUGGGCAGGUUGAAGGUUGGGUAACACUAACUGGAGGACCGAACCGACUAAUGUUGAAAAAUUAGCGGAUGACUUGUGGCUGGGGGUGAAAGGCCAAUCAAACCGGGAGAUAGCUGGUUCUCCCCGAAAGCUAUUUAGGUAGCGCCUCGUGAAUUCAUCUCCGGGGGUAGAGCACUGUUUCGGCAAGGGGGUCAUCCCGACUUACCAACCCGAUGCAAACUGCGAAUACCGGAGAAUGUUAUCACGGGAGACACACGGCGGGUGCUAACGUCCGUCGUGAAGAGGGAAACAACCCAGACCGCCAGCUAAGGUCCCAAAGUCAUGGUUAAGUGGGAAACGAUGUGGGAAGGCCCAGACAGCCAGGAUGUUGGCUUAGAAGCAGCCAUCAUUUAAAGAAAGCGUAAUAGCUCACUGGUCGAGUCGGCCUGCGCGGAAGAUGUAACGGGGCUAAACCAUGCACCGAAGCUGCGGCAGCGACGCUGAUGCGUUGUUGGGUAGGGGAGCGUUCUGUAAGCCUGCGAAGGUGUGCUGUGAGGCAUGCUGGAGGUAUCAGAAGUGCGAAUGCUGACAUAAGUAACGAUAAAGCGGGUGAAAAGCCCGCUCGCCGGAAGACCAAGGGUUCCUGUCCAACGUUAAUCGGGGCAGGGUGAGUCGACCCCUAAGGCGAGGCCGAAAGGCGUAGUCGAUGGGAAACAGGUUAAUAUUCCUGUACUUGGUGUUACUGCGAAGGGGGGACGGAGAAGGCUAUGUUGGCCGGGCGACGGUUGUCCCGGUUUAAGCGUGUAGGCUGGUUUUCCAGGCAAAUCCGGAAAAUCAAGGCUGAGGCGUGAUGACGAGGCACUGCGGUGCUGAAGCAACAAAUGCCCUGCUUCCAGGAAAAGCCUCUAAGCAUCAGGUAACAUCAAAUCGUACCCCAAACCGACACAGGUGGUCAGGUAGAGAAUACCAAGGCGCUUGAGAGAACUCGGGUGAAGGAACUAGGCAAAAUGGUGCCG
rnacentral:rRNA from 1 species